AUCAGCCUUCUGUAGAGUAUUUUGUUUCCUGCUAGCUGGGUAAAUCAGAAGAAAAGCACUGGGGAUCAUGAGCUUGUUCCUGUUAGACUUUGGAAAAUCAGAGUGAAUACUCUUCACUAAAACAGAAAUCCACAAGCAGCCAAGCUAUCUCCAUUCUGUGACUCACAACUAUUUCUUUGGAAGCAAUGUAUUACUUUAGGAGACUGAGUUUGUAUUUUUCUGAAUUAUAGAUGUACAACUGAUUGUAGAAUUCACUCUGCUAAAGCAAUGGCAAAAUUGUGAUAACUGUUCUGUAUCCCUGGGUUUUCACAGUCCUGCUGGACUGUGUGGCUGUCUGGCAGAAUAGGAUUUGUUCUCACUUGCUGGGGUUCUGAAAGUUCUUCAUCACAUGUACGUGCACACAAAAAAAAUGCCAAUUUGUAAUGAACUUAAUGCAGAAGUUCUGACAGCUGAUGAACUGUGUGGUUUUAUACACCAGGAAACCAGAGAGUGGAAAGAUGGCAAGAGACAUGUGUUCUUGCUAGGAUGUCAUUUUCCAUCCAAAAUGGACAAUACCAGAAUUCAGAGAAUGUGUCUCCUGUCAUCUUCUCUGAGAGGAUGACCCAAUAUUACCCAGGAGGGGCCAAAAAGGUUUGGUUUAAACAGGUUCUGACCCUUACAAACAAUUAAUGUGUGCCUAUGACUCUGUCAACGUGGCUGCUAUUUGAGGUACACAUUUAAAAGCUGCUGCCCCAGCCACUAUAUCCAGAGCUGGUAUUCUUCACCUGAACACCCAGGACCUGGGAUGGAACCCAUGAGUAUCUGAUGAUAUUGGUUGGCAUUUUUAACAUCCUUCUUGCAGAUUAAUUGCAACAAACUCCAUUAUAUAUAUAUUAAGUCUUCCUUAUAAUUUUUAUUCUGUUAAUGUAUUAUUUAUUUGGUGCCUACAUAUAUUCUCAAAUAGGCAUUUUUAAGAAUUUUGCCGGUUAAGUGGUUUUUUUUCCUCUCUUACAUAUACUGCUUAAUCAGAGCAGUAGUGUGGAGGGUUGACCCUGACUGAAUGCCAGGUGCCAACCAAGCCAUUAUUACUCCUCCUCAGCUGGACAGUGGAGAGAAAAAUAUGAUGAAAGACUCUUGGGUCAAGAUAAGGACAAGGAAAUCAAAUACUCAGCACACUCUCAUGGGCACAACAGACUCAACUUGGGGAAAUUAUUUUUAUUUAUUACCAGUCAAAUCAGAAUAGGGUAGUGGGAAAAAAAAACCCCAGUGUUAAAGAUACCUUCCUUCCACUCCUACCUCCUUCCCAGUUCAACUUCACUCCCAGUUUUCUCUACCUCUUCCCCCCAUUAGCUCAGGGGGAUGGGAAAUGGGGUUGCAGUCAGCUCAUCCUAGUCUCUGCUCCUUCUUCCCUCUCAGGGGAAGUACUCCUCACACUCUUCCCCUCCCUGCUCCAUCACAGUCCCUCCCAUGGCAGACAGGCCUCCAAGAACUUCUCCAACUUGAGUCCUUCCCUCGGGCUGCAGUUCUUCAUAAACUGCUCCAGUGUGUGUCCCCCAUGAGGUUACAAGUCUUGCCAGCAAACCUGCUCCAGCAUGGGCUCCUCUCUACACAGGUUCACAGGUCCUCCCAGGAGCCUGCCCAAGCACAGUCUUCACACAGGAUUUCAGCCUUCUUUGGGCAUCUACCUACUUUUGUGUGAGGUACCUUUUUUCCAUAAUAAGAGAAACUCAGGCUCCAAGUCCAUGUAAAUAAUUGAAAAUAAUGUCCACAGCAACUGUACACCACAAAUUGAAGCCUUAACAUUUUCCUAUGGCCACAUUUAUGCACAGAUCAUUUUUUUGCCAGCUAAAUUAUCUUCACACAAAGUAUGUGAGUUCUAGAGGCAGCAAAUCACUUCAUCACCUUUCCACUAUGCUGUUGAACAACUUAUAAAGUUAGAGUUAUAUUUGUGGAAGACAAGUUGUAGAAGUUAUGAUAGUAUGAUAUAUACCUGUCAGUGGAGGAAUAGAAAGCAUGAGCUGGGAGCUGUAAUUGCCUCUGUUUGAAGGUUUGGUUAUUUUUGCACUUUUUUUCAGUGUGCUCUGCAUAGGAUAUUCUCAAGUACUUAAUGUUAUUUUGAUUGCAUUAACUCGUAUUGCACAACUUUUUAAUGCUUAGAUGAGAAGGAAUUUUCCUGGGGAGAUUAGAAGUCUAUGGACAUAGAGACAUGGAGGCGAUGAUCAAAAGAUAUGAUCCAUUUUCAAAUCUCUUGUUGUCUUUGAGGGUUAACAUUUGAUAGGAAAAUACAGAGCUUGGAAAAGAAAGAUUUAUCAGGCAAGGAAACUUUUAGGUGCUCACAGUAGUUAAAGCUAUUUAUUGCCAACUGUUUGUCCAAAUGGUUUUAGGUAUGGUGAAAGCUAGGCCAAAAAUUAAAUUGAAAUAAUUGAGAAAUUAAACCAACUACAUCUUGCACCAGUCUUUGCUUCUCUAACAGUUAUAGGGCUA